UGCUCCGACAUGACGCAUGUCGUGUCGGGAAAGAUUCUAUCGGUAUGGGAUGGGGUCGCGUCCUAUCAGCUUGAUGGCGGGGUAACGGCCCACCAUGGCUUCGACGGGUAGCCGGCCUGAGAGGGCGACCGGCCACAUUGGGACUGAGAUACGGCCCAGACUCCUACGGGAGGCAGCAGUGGGGAAUAUUGCACAAUGGGCGCACGCCUGAUGCAGCGACGCCGCGUGCGGGAUGACGGCCUUCGGGUUGUAAACCGCUUUUGAUCGGGAGCAAGCCUUCGGGUGAGUGUACCUUUCGAAUAAGCACCGGCUAACUACGUGCCAGCAGCCGCGGUAAUACGUAGGGUGCAAGCGUUAUCCGGAAUUAUUGGGCGUAAAGGGCUCGUAGGCGGUUCGUCGCGUCCGGUGUGAAAGUCCAUCGCUUAACGGUGGAUCUGCGCCGGGUACGGGCGGGCUGGAGUGCGGUAGGGGAGACUGGAAUUCCCGGUGUAACGGUGGAAUGUGCAGAUAUCGGGAAGAACACCAAUGGCGAAGGCAGGUCUCUGGGCCGUUACUGACGCUGAGGAGCGAAAGCGUGGGGAGCGAACAGGAUUAGAUACUCUGGUAGUCCACGCCGUAACCGGUGGAUGCUGGAUGUGGGGCCCUUUCCACGGGUCCUGUGUCGGAGCCAACGCGUUAAGCAUCCCGCCUGGGGAGUACGGCCGCAAGGCUAAAACUCAAAGAAAUUGACGGGGGCCCGCACAAGCGGCGGAGCAUGCGGAUUAAUUCGAUGCAACGCGAAGAACCUUACCUGGGCUUGACAUGUGCCGGAUCGCCCCGGAAACGGGGUUUCCCUUCGGGGCCGGUUCACAGGUGGUGCAUGGUCGUCGUCAGCUCGUGUCGUGAGAUGUUGGGUUAAGUCCCGCAACGAGCGCAACCCUCGCCGCAUGUUGCCAGCGGGUUAUGCCGGGAACUCAUGUGGGACCGCCGGGGUCAACUCGGAGGAAGGUGGGGAUGACGUCAGAUCAUCAUGCCCCUUACGUCCAGGGCUUCACGCAUGCUACAAUGGCCGGUACAACGCGAUGCGACACGGUGACGUGGGGCGGAUCGCUGAAAACCGGUCUCAGUUCGGAUCGCAGUCUGCAACUCGACUGCGUGAAGGCGGAGUCGCUAGUAAUCGCGGAUCAGCAACGC
rnacentral:rRNA from 1 species